CUGUGGGGAGAGACGAAUAAGUGCCACCUAAUACGUUGCAUGAUGACGGUAUCUCCUUAGCAAGCACCGGCUAACUCUGUGC
rnacentral:rRNA from 1 species